AUCAGAUUACAUUCAUUAAAUGAUGUUGCCUUACUGACAGUAUUGAUAAUUUUCAAGAUUGAUUGGCCUGUUAAAAGUACUAUUAUUGGAAUUGCAGCAAAUUCCAGCUCUGAUGACAGAGCUUGAGAACCUUAGGCAACGGUAUCAGCAAUGUUUGUUGGUGCUAUGAUAGGAACUAAUGGUUCAUUUUGAUGUCUGCCGAAGUAGAUUUUGGAUGUCUUUUGAAUCGGGUCAUCUUGCAUACGUUGGACACUUCAAACUGGUGACAUUAUCUACGAAUUACAAGUAGCAACUCUCAGCCUUUGGCUAAGAGAGACAAAGGCGUGAAAACAUUCAUGAUUCUAGAAUAUAUGUGUGAACACUAACCAUGGAGGGCUACUUUUUGGGCUGUGUUUUUAUAAUGGCCUACUUCAUGUUUGGUUCAGUUCAUUUUGAUUUUUGUUAAAUGAUGUUUGUUACAUGACAGUUUCUUUCUUUUGUCUCGGUUUACCGAUGCAUAAAUUUUCUUCUUAAUGCGAUAACUAUUAUCUACUAA